rnacentral:rRNA from 1 species
AAGUGAAACAUCUCAGUAGCCGGACAUAGAAGAAAUCGAAGAGAUACCCUGAGUAGUGGUGAGCGAAAGGGGAGUAGCCUAAACCGAUUGCGUGCAAGCCUGCAAGCGUUGCGCAAGACGGGGUAAUAGGACCGUUCAGGAGGUUGUUGCAGCGACCUCGGGCAGUUACCAAACGCAAGGUCAGUUGAAUGGUAUUGGGAAAGCCAGCCGCAGAGGGUGAGAGCCCCGUAAGCGAAGGCGUUGCGUCUGCCUGUGAACGGCACCUGAGUAGGCCGGAGCACGUGGAAUUCCGGUUGAAUUUGGGCCGCCCAUGGUCUAAGGCUAAAUAUGUCGGAUGACCGAUAGAGAAGAGUACCGAGAGGGAAAGGUGAAAAGCACCCCUGGCGGGGAGUGAAAGAGACCUGAACCCGUGUGCCUACAAGCGAUCGGAGCACGA